CCUACGGGUGGCAGCAGUGGGGAAUAUUGCACAAUGGGGGAAACCCUGAUGCAGCGACGCCGCGUGAGUGAAGAAGUAUUUCGGUACGUAAAGCUCUAUCAGCAGGGAAGAAAAUGACGGUACCUGACUAAGAAGCCCCGGCUAACUACGUGCCAGCAGCCGCGGUAAUACGUAGGGGGCAAGCGUUAUCCGGAUUUACUGGGUGUAAAGGGAGCGUAGACGGCAGCGCAAGUCUGGAGUGAAAUCCCAUGGCUUAACCAUGGAACUGCUUUGGAAACUGUGCAGCUAGAGUGCAGGAGAGGUAAGCGGAAUUCCUAGUGUAGCGGUGAAAUGCGUAGAUAUUAGGAGGAAUACUCAUUGCGAAGGCGACCUGCUAGAACAUAACUGACGCUGAUGCGCGAAAGCGUGGGGAGCAAACAGGAUUAGAUACCCGAGUAGUC
rnacentral:rRNA from 1 species